rnacentral:lncRNA from 1 species
GACUCGAUUUAUAAAAAAAUAUGUACAAUAUUUAUACUUCCAAAUAAAUUUAUUAAAAAAACUAGAUUCAAAAAUCUUAUAAUGAUACUAAUUAUAUACUCCCUCUAUUCAUAAAAAAAAAGUUCAAUUCCUAGCAACUUGGGGACAAAUUAGCAAAACAAGAAAAAAUACUAUAUUACCCUGGUUGGACAUCAAUAUCUCUGCAUGCAGUUGCUGAGAGCACAUGAGUAUUCCAACACAAUUAAGAGGUGUCAUUUGGAGUAUGUCAAGGAUAUUAAAUGCUGAUGUACGCAGUCCAACACAAAAAUUGGAAGGGGAUUGGGGACUUUUGGGCUAUGAUGUAAUGCGACC